GAUGAACGCUGGCGGCGUGCUUAACACAUGCAAGUCGAACGAAGCACUUUAACUUGAUUUCUUCGGAAAGAUUGUUAUUGUGACUGAGUGGCGGACGGGUGAGUAACGCGUGGGUGACCUGCCUCAUACAGGGGGAUAACAGUUGGAAACGACUGCUAAUACCGCAUAAGCGCACGGUAUCGCAUGAUACAGUGUGAAAAACUCCGGUGGUAUGAGAUGGACCCGCGUCUGAUUAGCUAGUUGGCGGAGUAACGGCCCACCAAGGCAACGAUCAGUAGCCGACCUGAGAGGGUGACCGGCCACAUUGGGACUGAGACACGGCCCAAACUCCUACGGGAGGCAGCAGUGGGGAAUAUUGCACAAUGGGCGAAAGCCUGAUGCAGCGACGCCGCGUGAACGAUGAAGUAUUUCGGUAUGUAGAGUUCUAUCAGCAGGGAAGAAGAAUGACGGUACCUGACUAAGAAGCACCGGCUAAAUACGUGCCAGCAGCCGCGGUAA
rnacentral:rRNA from 1 species